ACUGCGGAUAGUUCGCGCUCUGCCCAGCUCGAGGUGAAGGAACUCUCACAUGCACCUCAGCCUUCAAUCCACAAACCACAUCGCCCAACGGGUCGCCCAGAGCUACGUACACCCGUGGUCAGGGAUCCCCCGGUGGGAGAAGAACAUGCCGCAUACACCCGCAGCCGAGAUCCCCGAUAGGGAGAGGAACAUGCCACAUGCACCCUAGCGCUCAUGAUUCUUGCUCAAUAACAAGCCUCGAAGUUCUUCCGGUGGGAGAGGAACAUGCCACAUGCACCCGCGGCCAAGAACUAUCGAGCUUGUAUGCUGCACUAGCAACCGUUGCACUAGCAGCAGGGAUUCCGAAAUCCAC
rnacentral:lncRNA from 1 species